AGAGGUUUUUGUAUGACGGCUUCAUUAGAAUGUAUCACUGUGGUUCCCUUUCGGUGGAGGAACCAAACUCAUCAUCACCGGUCCCGCGGUGAAGCCCUCCGUGUCUCUGCUCCCUCCCUCCUCUCUGCAGCUGUCUGAGGGAUCGGCCUCGCUGCUCUGCCUGCUGUCUGCCUACUCUCCACAGGGGGCGCUGGUGAGCUGGACAGUGGACGGCUCCCAGGUGAAGGACGGGGUUCUGACCAGCGCAGAAGAACAGAAGAAGGACGGUUACACACGCAGCAGUCUUCAUCUCCACGGCCCAGGGGGAGGACAAAGAAGAAGUCUGCUCCCGGUCCUAGCGCUUCGGGGAGGUUUCUGACAUGUCUAUGCUGGAAUCAGCGUCGAUCUACAGCUCUCACAGCACAGCACAGCCUACAAACAUGGCCGGCAAAAAGGACUAUACCACACCACCAUCUCAAACACUCUCACGUUCAAGUUCACUCAGUUACUGAUUGCACACACCUGAACUCAAUCGCAGUCACACACACACUCACAGUAUUAAAGGACUCUUCUCCCACAUGCAAUUUGUGAAGUAUAUGCUCUGUGUUGCCAGUCGUUACCAAGCCUUUGAUUAUUGAUUGCUAUGCUGGUUUUGAUAUUGUUCCUGGUUGCUUCAACUUGCUCUUGUCUGCCCUUGUUUAUUCUGUUUGUUGAUCACCUGACAUUUGUCUUCUCCUCAACCCUGCUUUUGAAUCUCAUUCUUGUUUUGAUUGCCUGGAUUAUUAAAAACCUGUCAACCUGCAUUACCAUCCUCACCUGCUUACCUGACCAACUAAAUGUACUUUGUUAUUUUGAGAAUUAUUUUAGAUUAGAUGCCAAUUCGACAGUCCACUGUAGAAGAUUAUGCUGGGAAAAGCAUAGUACACUUUGAUAUUUAACACUCCGAUGUCACUCUGUAUGAAGUGUAGAGGUGUGUUUGCACAAGACUGCGUUUUAAUCCCAGAUGUUUCUGAAGGAAUUCCUUCUGCAGUUAUUUUCAUCCUUUAAAGAUAAAUAAAAUGUAAAUAAUACCGGUUUGGAUUUCCAUUGUGACCAGUGCUAUACAAUGCCUGCUCAAUGAGGCCGGUGCAGAAUAUUUUUUGAACCGGAGAUGAAUGUGGCAUUAAAAUCUCUCAGCCACUGCUUUAGACAUUACAUCUUCCAUUCAUCAUUAAGGUAUAAGGCAAUAAUUAGUCAUUUCAGCACAUAAGUGUAUUUUCAGAAUGGUCAUUAUAUAAUGUAAUAUGAUACAUAGAUUGUUUUAUUACAUUUAUUGCACUAAUGUAUUUACUUUAGUUAUUAACAAUGCAACAUGAAAAGCAGUGAAGCUGAAUGUAAUGUGUAGCCUGUAUGUGGCUGAUAAAUGAAGUGCAGUUUGAUGCAUUCUUUGAAAUAAAAUAUCUGAAAAA